UGAGGAGGAGGGGCGUGCGGCUGAACCUAGGACCAAGGGGCGGAGAGGGAGGGGAGAGGGAAGACCGGGUACCCUCGGCAGCUUCCACCGCCGCUCCCAGCCAGAGCGAUGUCCCGUGCGGCGGUGCUGGGAAGGACCUGAGCCCCCCGCCGGCUCUGGCGUAGCAGCGGCCACAGUGAAGCUACAGGCCCCGCUCGCUCUCCCUCCCCCGGAGGCUGCGCUGACCGGACAAUGGCCGCUCCGCCCCCACCCCUGCUCACGCACCCCUCCCAAGGAGCCACAAUGGUCUCGCCCAGGGGAGCCGCAGCCAAAGCCUAGCAGCUGAUCAGCUGGGAUCCGGGCGUGCCACUUUGUUCAACGCUUCAAGAGGAAGAGAGCAGAGAACUCUAUAUUACCUUGGUCCCCUGUGGAGAAUGGAUGCCGGUUUCAAUAAUCCUUUUAAGAAAAGAAGAAAGAAAUAAAGAAAGCCUUGAGCUGCCAGGAAAAAAGUGGUUCUUGAAAUUCACCCUCAGCUCUUUGGCCAUGGUCUUCUUACUGCAACAGUCUACCCCACACUGGACACCACCCUUCUUUCUUCACCCCCUGAAAGUGCCACUGACACACCAUGACCAUGUGGAUUUUUACUGAAGACUUGGAGUCACCUGGGAACAAUUACCACAUGGGGCAGAAAGCAGCCUGAAGCUCCUCCUCCAGUGUCACGGGCCCCAGAACCAAACUGGCCAUCCAGUCACUGGGUGGGCUCCCCCUAGCUCCCUUCUCUAUCCUGUGAUUGCCCUCCUCCUGUCCCCGGUAAAGAACAUCAACUCCAAAUCUACCUGGGAAAGGAAAGAACACACUUGUGUGGAGUGGCCUGGGUGUAAGGAGCGCCUGUGAUGAACUCCAGAGUACAGGCCCUGUGAAACAAGAGCGGCCACACUCAGCUCCAACCGGACAUCCCUCAGGCAGGGGGAGGGGGUGUCUUUAAUAAAAGUGGCCUGCAUUCAGCUAGUUUCCUAAAUGGGCUCCGCACCCUUCUGCCCUUUCCCCCUUUCAAGGCUUCUAACUCCCCUUAGUUGUUAUGCACAGUAAUUUAGUUCCCCUUAGCCUAGGACUCCCCAGCCAAGCUGGGCCCAUAACACCUACUCUUUCCCACCAAAACCACCUAUCAACACUCAUCAAGGCAUUUUCCUAAAUGAAAGAACCACCUCUUCAGGAGGUAGAAGAGACUGCAUCAGCUUUUUAAUAACUAGCUCUUUCAUUUUUUCUAAUUUAGUCUCAUUUUAAAGAUGAAGACACUUUGACCCAGAGAGGUGAAAUAAUUUGUCCCGAUCACCACACUCUUAAUUAGUGAGACUGGAAGUUGAGUCCUGUCUCCAAAGUCCAUGAAGGUGGCUUGUUGGUCUCUCUACCCCAAGAACUUAGCAAGAUGCCAGAGCUCAAUUAAUGCACUUGUAUUUGAGUCUAAAUAAAGGGUGGAUGGGGGGGGGGGGGAACCUCCCAGGCCUGCUAGGAAAACCAGAGAGGAGAAGGGACAAACUGGGGAAGGAGCUGGUGAAGGGCAGUGAAGUGAAAGGGCCUGGGCCCUGCCCUCAGGCUCUUGGGAGUGGGCUGUCCCCUGGCUGGUCCCUCUGCCUCCUGCCCAGCCUUCCAGGGAGACUGUGUGCUCUGGGCAGAAGCCGCUGCCACCGUUCAUCAAAGCCAGGCAGCCUGAGGAAGCUCAGGGCCUAUCCUGUAGGACACUUUCAAUCAACUUCAGUUCAAUUUGUUCCCUCUAAAUGACUCUGAAAUGUAAAUAAAAUUAAA